UACGUAGGGUGCGAGCGUUGUCCGGAAUUAUUGGGCGUAAAGAGCUUGUAGGCGGUUGUGUCGCGUGCUGUGAAAAUCCGGGGCUCAACCCCGGACUUGCAGUGGGUACGGGCAGACUAGAGUGUGGUAGGGGAGACUGGAAUUCCUGGUGUAGCGGUGAAAUGCGCAGAUAUCAGGAGGAACACCGAUGGCGAAGGCGGGCUUCCCUGGAC
rnacentral:rRNA from 1 species